rnacentral:tRNA from 1 species
GCCUCUGUGGCAUAGCGGUAUUGCGCCACCUUGGUAAGGUGGAGGCCGCGGGUUCGAUUCCCGCCAGAGGCU